GGGGGCGGAGCCUAGCUGCCAAGCAGAGUGGACGUGCUAAAACCCAGCUCCUGCAUUAUCUGCCUGAUUUUGGGGAAAAUACCCAGUAAAACUGGCACAGAACUACUCUAAAGGGCAUAACUGAAUUGGGAUCCUCUGGGUGCAACUCUGGACACCCAAAUCGACUAACUAACCACCCGAGAUCCCAAGCUGCGGUGACCGAGGCCUACAGGAUGGCUGGCAGA